CCAUUGUUCCGUAAUUCUCCGUCAUCCGUCAUCCGUUCUCCGUUCUUCGUUGUUGUCGCGCCUUUCGUGGCCACUGGUCGACGUUACGUUGCUACAGUUCGAUAGUCGAGCACUUCCCGAGAGGAUCGAAGGCUCCAGACCUGCGUAAACCCAAAGGAUCCACAAUAGCCCCAAAUAUACGGUGAUUGGGUCGAAAACAAGUUACUAAAGAACCAGCGCGCCGUGAAAUUCCACUUGUUUAUAUAAUAACCAGCGGCUGCCAAGAGCCCAGCGGAAUAUACAAAAAAUAUUCAUUUUUCUAGCUCUGGUCGUUUGUAUUUUUUCAGGCAAAAAUAAAGAAAAGAAGAUAGAAGAAAGAAGAAAACCCAAGCAAUUCUGCGUGUUAUGUGUUAUUGUUGUGAUCAGUGAUCAGUGAUCAAGUGAAAGUGAACACAAGGACGAGAGAGCAACCAGCCCAGUGAAUCAGCUCCCAUCGACUCCCAUCGAAAAGGAUAUCAAUCAGUGACAAUGUCGGACAUUGAGGAUGUUAUCGGUGGCUCCGCCGAGGAGACCAAGCCCGAGCCCGAUGCCGAGAGCAAGACCAGCGUGGUCACCGAGCACACCGAGGAGGUGAUUCCCGGCGAGACCGAGAAAAUGGUCACGGAGACCAUCGAUGAGGACGGCGAUGUCGUGGAGGAAACCACCGAGGUUACCCGCAAGACGGUGAAGCGCACCAUGAAGAUCACUGAGACUUCUGCCACCACAAAGACAACCACGCUCACCACCCCCGCCAAACUGUAUGGCAAGGAUCUGAGUGAGUACGACGAUGUGGACGUGGAGAGCCUGCUGGCCCAGCUCUCCCCCGAGGAGAUAACCAUACUGGCCAAAGAAGUGGAUCCCGAUGACAACUUCCUGCCGCCAGACCAGCGCAACAGCUAUGAGUGCACCAAGGAAGCCACCGGGCCCCUCAAUCGCAAGCAGCUGAUCGAGCACAUCAACAAGCAGGCCAUCGAGACACCGGAUCAGCCGGAAUUUGAGCCGUUCGUUCAGGGCAAGGUCCGUGGAAAGAAGUGGGUCCCUCCGCCAAGGGAUGCACGCGACAUCGAGGCCGAAGAACAGAUCGCCAUCGACAUGGGCGAGGAGUACGAGCACGCCCUCAACGAUGCCACGCAGGAGGAGAUCAUCGACCUGGCCGCCAUCCUCGGCUUCCACUCGAUGAUGAAUCAGGACCAGUACCACGCCUCCUUGCUCAACAAGGGUCAGCCCGUAGGCCUGGGCUGGGAUGGCAUCACGAAAUCCACUCAGCAGAAGCUCUUCCCUAUGGAUCCGCCCAAUAGCACAGAUGUGGAGGAGUCCAUCAAGCGGGUCAAGGACGACGACUCCAAGCUGAUUGACCUCAACUUGAACAACAUUAAGAACAUCUCGGACGAGAAGCUCGAGCAACUGUUUGCCGCACUGCCUCAGAACGAACAUCUGGAAGUCCUCUCGCUGACAAAUGUGGGCCUCACCGACAAGACAGCCCUCCUGUUAGCCGCGGCCAUAGAGAAGAGCAAAACCCUGAGAGUAUUAAAUGUCGAGACCAACUUCAUCAGUCCGCCCGUGAUUGUUAAGCUGGUGCAAGCCCUGCUCAAGUGCCACACCAUCGAGGAGUUCAGGGCCUCCAAUCAGCGGUCCGCGGUGCUGGGCAACAAGAUCGAGAUGGAAAUCACCGACCUGGUGGAGAAGAACUCGUCGCUGCUGCGCCUUGGAUUGCACCUGGAGUUCAACGACGCCCGCCACCGAGUGGCCGCUCACCUGCAGCGCAACAUCGACAGAAUAAGAAAAGAUCUUGAGUUGCGACUGCAGUUCAGAUUUUUCAAUAAUCUGCAUAGAAAGUCGACAAGAAUUCAAUAAGCAGACCACAAACCAAGCAACUAAACAAAAAAACCAUUUUUAAAGCGUUUUGUAAUCUAAACCCAAAGAACCGAAGAAAAACAAGCACAUAACAACGAAAGAACGUGUAUAAUAUAAUAUAUAUUUAACAAGAUGAAGGAAGCAGGAGCACAAGUUUAAGCUAAAGAUAAAGCAGCCCACGAGCUUGCCAAAAAAUCUAUAUCUAUAUACUCUAGAGACUUUAACUAAGCAAAGCAAACUGAAACCAAAGAAACGAAGCGAAAUAUCAAACUAAAUACAUAUGCCACACUUAUCGAUAAAGAUCGCAGAUCGAGCAGACUCGUGAUCCAUGGAUUUAGCAUAAUACCCAUGUGCCACGAGUUAUGUUUUAAGUCGAGGCCUCUUCUAAAACUCAGCAGAAACCGUUUAGGCGUCACGUGUAUAAUUUUAUCUAACGCUUAACACAGGAAUUAAACUGCGAUGUAUGAUCUAAGUGAGUCCCCAGAUCCGAGUCAAAGUAAAGCGAUAGUAGCAGAAACCCAUAACAAACGUAGAUUUGAGACACUUUAUGAUUCAGUAAGAACCACCAACUAACAGCAGAAAAUAAAGCAGCACCACCGACAAGCAGAGCCAUGAAAAACUACAGAAAUAAAAAACAUGCAGAAACGAUGCAGAAUAUCUGAAACAGACGAAAAUACGUGUGAAACGCCUGAACCAGCGUAAAUAAAAAGACAAAUACGAAAUAUAUAGCAGCAACCAACCAACAACAACAUGCCACCACCCAAGAACAACAAUCAAGCAGAAAGCCAUCUAUAUGUGUGUGUGUUUCUCUGUCCGACUCUUGAUUUGACAAUUACUUUUACAAUUAAUUAACAAGCAAGCCCCAGCAAGAAUAUCAAAACCAAACCAACAACACCUCCAGCAAACCAGAACAACAGCAACAUGCGCAACCACGGCCACCAGAACAACAGAUCUUUGUCCAUGUCCAAACUCCCCCACCAACCGACCUCUGUACUCCCCGAAAACCAAUCCAACCAACCAGCUGUGAACUAACACCGAAGAAUGAUGUGCGACAUGAAUUGGACGUCAGCGUCGCAUGGGACAUCUGACCAGGAACUACACCGUUGGCGUCUGGCAGUAGGAUUCAUCCGAUUGGAACUGCGGAGUCCACACAUUUUACACAGAAAGAAAUCAAUAGCCUAACAGUAGUGUUGUCUCACACGCUUGUUGCUGCUCUCACGCAGAGAAUUGUUCUAUAUUGUUUUGUUCAGUGUUUGUUGCGUUCUUCAGAUUGAUGUUUUCGGUUCGAGUUUGUGUUUGGAUCACCACCUAAGCAUAAGCAAUUGUUUGUUACGAGUUAGGCGAAUGUUCAUUGUCACACACGCAGAUCCAGGAUUAACUUUCUAUCUGGCAGCUCUAAAGUAGUUAUUUCCUUAAGCAAAUCUUCACAUUUACGCUGCAGCUAUACACACGUUUAUUUUAUUUUAUUUACCUACCAUUCUGUCCUUGGAUUAUUUGUAGCCCCUAGACGGGGCGAUAUUUCACAAUUUUUAGUUUUAGUCGUGUUUAUAUCCACACAUGCACACAUGAUACAAACACAUACACAUAACAUACAUAAUACUUACACACUAUAUAUAUAUGAUACAUAUAUAGCCAUGGUCUCUGAAAACAAUUUACUGCUAUUGAAUUAUGAAAUGCUUAAACAUAAAUUUAACUUAUGGUUAAACACACAAAACAAAUGAAAAACAUACAAUUGUAUAAUGUAAUGAUAUCUUACUUUAUAUGACAUAAUGCAAUGCUUUUAAAAUACAAUUUUUAAAAAUCAUGUAAAAACUUUAAAAUUAAAUAAAAAAAAUACAAAAAACAA